UCUUCAAAUACGAUAGCGAAGAUCGAAUUAAUUAAAACAAAGAAGAGAAGGAAAUUAGCAGCGAAACUACAGUCGCUAAAACACGCUAUACGACCGUGGAUCAAAACUACUUGAGUAAAAGUGUCAAAUAAAAAUAAAAGCGCAAUGUGUUGAAUUUCUAUAUUAUAAAAC